UACAGUCCUCAUCUUGAUUUCCAACAGCU
rnacentral:piRNA from 1 species